rnacentral:rRNA from 1 species
GACGAACGCUGGCGGCGUGCCUAAUACAUGCAAGUAGGACGCAGUUGCGAACGGGUGAGUAACGCGUAGGGAACUGCCUAUUAGAGGGGGAUAACUAAUGGAAACGAUAGCUAAUACCGCAUACUAGUAGAUGGAUCUGCGUUGUAUUAGCUCGUAUGUCGGGUAAUGGCCUACCUAGGCGACGAUACAUAGCCGACCGCAGAAGGGGAACGGCCCAACUGGGACAGGGAGACGGCCAAGACGACUACGGGAGGCAGCAGUAGGGAAUCUUCGGCAAUAGGGGAAAACCUGACCGGGCAACGCCGAGUGAGGGAGGAAGGUUUUCGGAUCGAAAAGCUCUGUUGUUAAGGAAGCGGUACUUAACCAGAAAAGGACGACUAACUACGUGCCAGCAACCGCGGUAAUAC